AACUUUCAACAACGGAUCUCUUGGUUCUGGCAUCAAUGAAAAACGCAGCGAAAUGCGAUAAGUAAUGUGAAUUGCAAAAUUCAGUGAAUCAUCGAAUCUUUGAACGCACAUUGCGCCCGCUGGAAUUCCAGCGGGCAUGCCUGUUCGAGCGUCAUUU
rnacentral:rRNA from 1 species